GUAGGGUAGUGGUCAAUCCUGCAGGCCUUUGGAGCCUGUGACGGCGGUUCGAAUCCGCCC
rnacentral:tRNA from 1 species